rnacentral:rRNA from 1 species
GACUAGAGUUUGAUCCUGGCUCAGAACGAACGCUAGCGGCGUGCCUAACACAUGCAAGUCGCACGAGAAAUCCCGGGCAACUUGGGAGAGUAAAGUGGCGCACGGGUGAGUAGCACGUGGGUAAUCUACCCUGAAGUUGGGAAUAACACCUCGAAAGGGGUGCUAAUACCCAAUAACGUCCUCGAGACCCCGGUCUUGAGGAUCAAAGAUGGCUGAGGCUUGCAAGCUAUUGCUUUAGGAUGAGCCCCGCGCACCAUUAGCUAGUUGGUGGGGUAACGGCCCACCAAGGCUGUGAUGGUUAGCUGGUCUGAGAGGAUGGCCAGCCACACUGGAACUGAGAUACGGUCCAGACUCCUACGGGAGGCAGCAGUGAGGAAUCUUUGCGCAAUGGGGGCAACCCUGACGCAGCAACGCCGCGUGAGUGAUGAAGGCCUUCGGGUCGUAAAGCUCUGUCAGAUGGGAAGAAAGUUCCGGGCGUGAACAAUUCCCGGGAUUGACGGUACCGUCAAAGGAAGCACCGGCUAACUCCGUGCCAGCAGCCGCGGUAA